rnacentral:lncRNA from 1 species
AUGGCCAUCUGUCGAGAGGGAUCGGACGGUGUCUUUAUGGCAGAAGGGGGUCAGGCUGGAUGGCCAUCUGUCGAGAGGGAUCGGACGGUGUUGUUAUGGCAGAAGGGGGUCAGGCUGGAUGACCUUUGGGGAUCCCUUUCAACUCUGUUGGAAUAUAAGCUGCUAUGGAGUCUAGUGGAUUUUUUAAAACAGGAUGGAUGUCCGUCUGUCGAGAGGGAUCGGAUGGUGUCUUUAUGGCAGAAGGGGUCAGACUGGAUGACCUUUGGGGAUCCCUUUCAACUGUUGAAAUAUAAGCUGCUAUGGAGUCUAGUGGGUUUUUUUAAACAGGCUGGAUGUCCGUCUGUCGAGAGGGAUCGGACGGUGUCUUUAUGGCAGAAGGGGGUCAGGCUGGAUGACCUUUGGGGAAACCUUUCAACUGUUGAAAUAUAAGCUGCUUUGGAGUCUAGUGGGUUUUUUUUAAACAGGCUGGAUGGCCAUCUGUCGAGAGGGAUCAGAUGGUGUCUUUAUGGCCGAAGGGGUCAGACUGGAUGGCCUUUGGGGGUCUGCUGUGGGGAGGCCCCCCUUGUCUUUUGGCUCCUGUCCUUGUGGGGAAGGGGCUUUUGUCCACGCGCUCUUGUCUGUCGACCCGCUUGUGAGACUUCUUUGUGACCUAGACGUAGAAAGGGGUGAGGAUGGGGAGGAGGCCGAUGACCACCGCGACCACGUGUUCCUCUUACAUCUACUGUAAUCCCGGCUCACCACUUGGCUGCUGGCCGGAGUAUAGUGAUGCAGUGCUUCUUCUGUGAAUAUGAUUAUUAUUAUGAUUAUUAUUUUCCCUUAUUUUACAAACACUGUACAGUACAGAAGCCCCGGCGACUCUCUGCGUGGCAGGCAUGCUCCACACGGCCAUGGAAAUCCAGAAAAAAACCCUUUAUUUUCGCUGUAAGCAAUACUCAUCGGUACCAGAAGAAAUAUAUAUUUCAACUUACAGCUUGUUUGGGGGAAGAGAGAAAAAUAGGGUUCGGGGCGGGAAGUGGGGGGGGGGGGAGAAGAUGAGGAAAAUUUCCAUUUUUGUACAAAUAUAUGUUUCCUGAUUACCUCUUGCUAAUAAAUCUAUUCUAUCUCAGGGUAACGAGGCCUUGGCAAAUGUGUAUCAAUAAUAAAUCAGAUCAAUAAAUAAGUCCAGACAUCUACCGGGAUGGUUCACAUAAGCACUUCAAUAGGGUUUCAUAGUGUUCAUAUUUAAUUCCACUUUAAUGUGGGUUGGCAGAUAUAGGAGCCCUUGGUGGCGCAGCGGGUUAAACCGCUGAGCUGCUGAACUUGCUGGCGGAAAGGUUUCUGGCUUUGAGUCUACACUGCCAUAUAAUCCAGUUCAAACCAGAUUAUCUGUAUUUUAUAGGCAGUGUGGAAGAGGCCUGUCCCCCGGGUGCCAUUGUGGCUGAGUGGGUUGCUAUGACAUGAAGUGGGCGGGGCCUAAAGGGGUGGGGACUAACCUUCUGACUGGCAGCCAGGGGGAGAACGGCUCUUCCUUGUCCUCUGUAAUUUGGACUUUAUUUUUCUAGGGUUUUUUUUAUUGAAAGACAUAAAUUGGAUGACUAUGUCUUUUGUGGCCAAAUUUGGUGUGAUUUGGUUCAGUAGUUUUGUUGUUUACUCCGUAGGAAAAACACACAUUAUAUGUUUAUAUAUAUAGACUAGCUGUGCCCGGCCACGCGUUGCUGUGGCAAAGUAUGUUGGUAUGGGAAAUAAAUUCUUGAGGAAUUAUCUGAUUAGAACUGGAUUAUAUGAGGCUCCUUCUUCACAUCUGUAUAAAAUGCACACUGAAGUGGAUUAUAUGGCAGUGUGGAGUCCAGAUAAUCCAGUUCAAAGUAGAUAAUAUAAGAUCAUAAAUGGGUAAUAUAGCUGUGUGGAAGGGCCUUGAGUCUACACUGCCAUCUAAUCCAGUUAAAAUCUGAUCAUCUGUAUUUUAUAGGCAGUGUGGAAGAGGCCCAAGUGAGGCCUAACUCUGCCUGUCCCCUGUUGCUAGGAGACCAAGUGGGCGGAGCUUAGCCUUCUAACUGGCAGCAAUUGGAUAAAAACAAUUCUUCCUCUCCCCCUAAUUAGGGCUUUUUCCCCCCUUUUUGUUGUAUGAACGUAGAGGCAUGGAUGAGGGGUUGUGCUGCCAAGUUGAGUGUUUCUGGGAUGUGUAGUUUUGUUGUUUUGUCCUAGGCCGAAAUUUCAUUACCCUUUUAUAUAUAUAGAUAGAAGAUAAGAUAUACCAUCUGCCAGAUAGUAAUCAUUCAAAAGAAAACUAUCCAAGGUGAGAUGAAUCCUUAAGUAUAUUAUGAGCUUUCUUAAGGUGGCAGGAUUUAUUGUAAAACUUCUUCAAAGAGGGGAGAAAGCGGGCAGCCUGUCAUUCUCUGGAGUGCCUUCCUAUCUAGAGCCACUGUGCAAAUGGCAAACCCGAUGCAAUAGAUGCAGUAGGUUAGAACCCUCUCUAUAGCACAACAAUGAAAAGUCACCAGGAGUUUCUCGUUCCAUGGUUGGUUCCUUAAAAGUUUCAGACAAUAAUGCAAACUCGGCUGGGCCACCUUCACCAACACAGGUGAAUGCUACCCCAGGGCAAGUCUUCAAGAACAAUAGAGCACCCAAGGACUUAACACACUCUCUUCUGUGCCUACCUAACUAACUGGGCAGGUUUCCCUGAACAAUCGAUCACCCAGAGCUUCAAACAAUCUCUUCACCAACACAGCCUCAAUAGGAACCAAGAGGGCCAAGGUAUUGACAACUCCAGCACACCCCCUGUUCGGGUAUCAGCCAGCAUGCCAAGGCCUUAAAUCAAGAAAUAGUUUCCUAAGAUCUACAGAGAUUCUGUUGGGAGGUUAAUUAGCUCUGAACCACCCUGAUUUAUUGGUGAGAGGUCUCUCACCAAUUCAUCUUCUGUCAGACCGCUUAAGCAACUGGCUAACGACACCACAGUCGUAAUUCAGCUGUUCCCAACGGUUCUAAGGCUUUAUUAUAUACAAACUAUAUACAACUACAAAGUCAAUCGCUCAUAGGACCCAUGCUUCCCUACCAAAGGCAAAGCAUGUCCUCUCUCUUUGCCAAUCGAAGCUCAUCUCCGGCAACUCCCAUAUUCCAUAGCAGAAUGACGAAUGUCCUGUCCGCACUUCUGAGACCGGGAAGGCUUGACCUAUUGGCUAGGCAGGCUAUCACUCAAGCUGGCCUGCUAUUAACCCGUGUGCUGCUGGAAAGCAUGCCGGAAUACACAGUUGCAAAAACCCAACAGCAAAACACUUGACUUAACAUUUCACCCUUACACCAAAAUGCACCAACAGAUUCUUGCAGGAACACCUCAGCAAGCGAGAGUCCAAAAGUGGCAGGCUAAAACCCGGAAUCUCCAUCAGUGGCUGAUGCCAGAUAAGAGACUCCAUCCUGGGCAGACAGAAGACGGGGCGACUUUGAGGGUGCUGAACUGACUGCGCUCUGGCACCACGAGAUGCAGAGCCAACCUUAAGAAAUGAGGCCAGAAAGUGGAGUCCGUGACAUGUGAGUGUGGAGAAUGAUGUCGAGCUAGAAAUUUAGAGGGUCUCGCCCAGUGGGGAGAGAGCCCACAGACCCACCAAAAAGGGUCCAGUACUCUGGCGAG